rnacentral:rRNA from 1 species
CACGUAGGGCGCAAGCGUUGUCCGGAAUUAUUGGGCGUAAAGAGCUCGUAGGCGGUCUGUUGCGUCCGCUGUGAAAACUCGGGGCUUAACCCCGAGCCUGCAGUGGAUACGGGCAGACUAGAGUUCGGUAGGGGAGACUGGAAUUCCUGGUGUAGCGGUGAAAUGCGCAGAUAUCAGGAAGAACACCAACGGCGAAGGCAGCUCGCUGGGACGGAACUGACGCUAAGGCGCGAAAGCGUGGGGAGCGAACAGG